rnacentral:rRNA from 11 species
AAUAGUAGUAAUAAAUACCCUAAAUGCACCAAAUCCUGACUGACAUUGGAAGCUAAGUGUGGUCAACUUGGUUAGUACUCAGAAAGAAGAUUAUCAAUGAUGCAAAGGUGCUGCAAGUA